UACAGAGGGGGCAAGCGUUGUUCGGAAUUACUGGGCGUAAAGGGCGCGUAGGCGGCCCGCUAAGUCGAACGUGAAAUCCCCGGGCUCAACCCGGGAACUGCGUCCGAUACUGGUGGGCUUGAAUCCGGGAGAGGGAUGCGGAAUUCCAGGUGUAGCGGUGAAAUGCGUAGAUAUCUGGAGGAACACCGGUGGCGAAGGCGGCAUCCUGGACCGGCAUUGACGCUGAGGCGCGAAAGCCAGGGGGAGCAAACGGG
rnacentral:rRNA from 1 species